UACGUAGGGUGCAAGCGUUAAUCGGAAUUACUGGGCGUAAAGCGUGCGCAGGCGGUUGUGUAAGACAGAUGUGAAAUCCCCGGGCUCAACCUGGGAACUGCAUUUGUGACUGCACAGCUGGAGUGCGGCAGAGGGGGAUGGAAUUCCGCGUGUAGCAGUGAAAUGCGUAGAUAUCUGGAGGAACACCGGUGGCGAAGGCGGCAUCCUGGACCAAUUCUGACGCUGAGGAGCGAAAGCCAGGGGAGCAAACGGG
rnacentral:rRNA from 1 species